UACGUAGGUGGCAAGCGUUGCCCGGAUUUACUGGGUGUAAAGGGCGUGUAGGCGGAGCUGCAAGUCAGAUGUGAAAUCCCGGGGCUCAACCCCGGAACUGCAUUUGAAACUGUAGCCCUUGAGUAUCGGAGAGGCAGGCGGAAUUCCUAGUGUAGCGGUGAAAUGCGUAGAUAUUAGGAGGAACACCAGUGGCGAAGGCGGCCUGCUGGACGACAACUGACGCUGAGGCGCGAAAGCGUGGGGAGCAAACAGG
rnacentral:rRNA from 1 species